rnacentral:rRNA from 1 species
GAUGAACGCUAGCGACAGGCUUAACACAUGCAAGUCGAGGGGCAGCAUGAUUUGUAGCAAUACAGAUUGAUGGCGACCGGCGCACGGGUGAGUAACGCGUAUGCAACUUACCUAUCAGAGUGGGAUAACCCGGCGAAAGUCGGACUAAUACCGCAUGAAACAGGGGUCCCGCAUGGGAAUAUUUGUUAAAGAUUUAUUGCUGAUAGAUAGGCAUGCGUUCCAUUAGAUAGUUGGUGAGGUAACGGCUCACCAAGUCAGCGAUGGAUAGGGGUUCUGAGAGGAAGGUCCCCCACAUUGGUACUGAGACACGGACCAAACUCCUACGGGAGGCAGCAGUGAGGAAUAUUGGUCAAAUGGGCGAGAGCCUGAACCAGCCAAGUCGCGUGAAGGAUGAAGGUUCUAUGGAUUGUAAACUUCUUUUAGAGGGGAAUAAAGUGCAGGACGUGUCCUGUUUUGUAUGUAACCCUCUGAAUAAGCAUCGGCUAACUCCGU